rnacentral:rRNA from 1 species
GACGAACGCUGGCGGCGUGCUUAACACAUGCAAGUCGAACGGUAAGGCCCUUCGGGGUACACGAGUGGCGAACGGGUGAGUAACACGUGGGUGAUCUGCCCUGCACUUCGGGAUAAGCCUGGGAAACUGGGUCUAAUACCGGAUAGGACUCCGGACUGCAUGGUCUGGGGUGGAAAGCUUUUGCGGUGUGGGAUGGGCCCGCGGCCUAUCAGCUUGUUGGUGGGGUGAUGGCCUACCAAGGCGACGACGGGUAGCCGGCCUGAGAGGGUGACCGGCCACACUGGGACUGAGAUACGGCCCAGACUCCUACGGGAGGCAGCAGUGGGGAAGAUUGCACAAUGGGCGCAAGCCUGAUGCAGCGACGCCGCGUGAGGGAUGACGGCCUUCGGGUUGUAAGCCUCUUUCAGCACAGACGAAGCGCAAGUGACGGUAUGUGCAGAAGAAGGACCGGCCAACUACGUGCCAGCCGCCGCCGUAA